AUAGAAUGACCCAGUAUUGAAAUUCUGUGUGUUUCUUUAAUUCUUUUUAGUUUCAAUGAAAAAAAGAAAUCCUUAUAAGUUAUUACCUUUAUUUUUUUUUGUUGGAGCUGGUAUUGAAUGGUUUAUGAUUAAAGUCCGUGUUGGAAAAGAAACAUUUUACGAUACAACUUUGCGCAAAGAAGCAGAACGACGCAUGCUAAAAAAAGAAGUCUGAAAAUUGUUUAAAAAUGCCGUUCAAUGUUACUUGGGGAUACUAUCUCAGAUUUUCCGCAUCAGCAUUUUUAUCUAUGUUUGCUGGAAGCAUUUGUGUUCAUUAUUACUACAAACCUAAUUUGACUAUUCCUGAAAAACCAACUGAUCUAUCUGCAAUUCAUUUAAAAUCGUUUAUUUCUAUCAAAUCACAAGAAGAUAUCAUAAGUACCAAAACAGAAGUGCAAAAAAAUCAAUAAACUUAUUUGAAUUUUAUUGUUUAUUUA